rnacentral:snRNA from 1 species
UGUCAAGGAUUUCAUACUGGGAUAUCUGCUGUCCCAUUGGUCACCAGAGUUAAGUUGGCUGCUAUGGUGGUUUGGGUGGGUGUCCUCUUCCUUCUUGACUCCUCAUUUGGCAUCUUUUCUUGGCCAAAGAGAAUGACCUACUGAGGGAAGAGGACUUUCUUUGGUCAAGAGUAUAAAAAUGGUGGGCCUCUCCAAACUGCCUCCCAUGUAUACUGCAGUAUUUUUCCCCUAUAAUAUUGUCAUCUGUUAUAGACCAAAGUCCAGAGAC